rnacentral:rRNA from 1 species
UACGGAGGGUGCGAGCGUUGUCCGGAAUCACUGGGCGUAAAGGGCGCGUAGGCGGCCUGAUAAGUAGGGGGUGAAAUCUUGCGGCUUAACUGCAGGGCUGCCUCCUAGACUGUCUGGCUCGAGCACGGUAGAGGCAGAUGGAAUUCCCGGUGUAGCGGUGGAAUGCGUAGAGAUCGGGAAGAACAUCGGUGGCGAAGGCGGUCUGCUGGGCCGUUGCUGACGCUGAGGCGCGACAGCGUGGGGAGCAAACAGG